UAACGCCCGGGUUUCAGGGCUAAGCAUUUUUGUCAAUGUAAUAGUCUAGGUCAACUCUUGUAACUCUUUUUGAAGUAAUAAAGAUGAAAUAUUUGAGUAUUAUGUGAAUUAUAUGUGUUUAUUAUUUAAUUAUAAAUGUAUAAUUAAUAAAGAAUAAAAAUGAGCGUCAAAAUUAAAGUGUGAGAUAAUCCCGAUAUCUCUACAUAAAGUUGUAGAAUAUCUCUCAAGGUUUCCGUGCAUAUAAGGAACGCCGAAAUCCGAGUUAUAACGAAGAAGUUAUGACCCGUCGAAGUUUCACGACAGAACCGGCACGAUACCGGGAAGCGUGAAUAGUGAAUUUACGAUAGAGCGAGAUUUAGCCUUAGUGAUCUAAACGAAAGUCGUAGAAUAUGUUAAACUAAGAACAUCGAUAAAAAGAACGCCCAAAUCUGACUUCGUAUGAAGAAGUUAUGAGAUUUUAAACAGACCAAUCCUGUCCCGGCUUGUUAAAAAUAUAACUUUAAAAAUAAAGUCAAAAUUAGCCGACGGAGUCUAAACGAAAGUUGUAGAGUACGUCUUCACCUACGCGUGGAUAUAAAGAACGUCAAAAACGGAGUUCGUAUGAACGAGUUACAAAUUAUAAUAGCAUAUUUACGUAUUAAAAUAAAGUAUAAAUCAUGUAUACGUACACAUAUAUAUACAUAUGUAUAUAUCAUUAGAAAGGUAUCGACGAUGCGGUCAUUAUAAGACUAAUGUUGAGUUCUUUCGACAUUAGUUUAGUACAAAUAUCAUUAAAUCCAUUUAUAAUAGUAUUAUAGAGGGGUGUUUAGUUGUUUAUAUAACUAAAAGGUCAUUAAGUAAUUAUGGAGGGUAGUUUUUGAAAAUUCAAUUAGUAUAAAUAAGAGCCUUGGGCUCUCAUAUUUCUUGCACCAUUCUCUUGAUUCAAGAGUCUUUCUCUCCUUAUCCCCCGAGCAUUUCGGUCCCUCGUGAUUCGACUUCUCUUUCUGUAGCUUAGUAUAGUAAGGUGAGCGCUGAAGCGCUGCACGAAUCUUUCUUAGAAAGAUUCAGCGACGAAGUUCUGCCCCUGCAGAGCCCGACUCCUAGCUAAAACCCCCUUGUAAGUAAGUUAUGCUUACCUUAUUUUAAUAUAGCUUAUAUUUAAAAUUAGUAUUGUUAUUAUGAACUUAUAAUAAAUAUUUGAGCUAUUAUUAUAACUUAUAUAAGUGUCGUUAUAAAUUUUUUUUUAACUACUCGCGGUACGGGGAAUCUGGUUUAAAGGGCCGCAUAGGGUUGUUGGAUUUCAGAAGUGCUAUAUGCCAAAAUGGUCCUGCCCUCCGGUGUUUUAUGUCUGGCCCCUGUCUGUACAUAGUGGUUGGAAAAUAUUGUUUAACGCUUAUAUAAUAAUAAUAAUACUAAGACUAAUAGUUGGUCACGGUAAAUAUUAGACUAAAAUUUAGCGAUAAUAAUGCUAGGUUUCGUCGAAGGAAAAUAGAAUCGUUAGAAGCAAGCGCUGCCCGAUUUUGGAAUCAUCACCUUAACAAGUGAGUGCAUAGUUACUUUCAACUUACACAUAGAUAUGAAGUAUUUUAUAUAAAUUACGUGCUAUGUGUGCAUAUUAUCUGAAUACUUGCUAUCUAUGCUAGAUGAACGUUGUUAUACAUGUUUUCAAUGAUUUAAACUGUAUAUGUAUUUUAUAUCUACGAAAAUGUUGGGGUAAAACAUGGGUAGAUGCAAUAGGUGAUGUGUGAUAAAAUGAUGAGAGGCCUCGAUGUUGAUGUUGUUGAUUCUGUCAUCUAGCGGAGUAUGGAUGACGACCACGGACUCUUCUAGACAGUCCAGUGGAACACUAGCAGGCUCGCAACCUGUAGGUGUUUGUGAACGAUAUGUUCACCGGUGUACUCCAUCCCCCACAUGGUUGCCUUUAGGACAUUUAUUGCUGAGGAAUCCCCUUAGCAGUAGUGUCCGUCCCGAUGAUGAUCCUUAGGCUAGGUCCCUUAUGAUAGGUGUUUAGGGACGUAAAGUGAGGAUAACGGGAACGGGUAAUCGGGUUAUUGUUGAUCGAUGAAAUUAAUAAACUUAUUUAUUGUGGGUUGAAAACCCUAUGUGCUCACCAGGCUCCCAAGCCUGACCCACUCAGUUUUAUGUAUUACAGGUAGUGGCGCAUGAGCAUAGGUGUGAUGUUUUGGACGAGGGAUUACGGAUAUAGGCCUGUAGAUAUGAAAUAAUGUAGUAAGGCUUAUAUUGUACUGUUUAUGCUUUUGAUCUGUACGAACAUGACAUCCCGAGUCUUUUAAUGAAAUACAUUUCUAUGGAAAUGCUUUUGAUAAAUCUUUAUCAUAUUUUUGUUUUGGGACAAAUUCCGCAACACUUUCAUUUAAAAUGUAACUCUGAUUUUUAAACAAAGCAUAAACAAACCGGUCUUUUCUGGCCGUGAUUUUGGGGAUGUCACAGUUGGUAUCAGAGCAUUAGUUUAAGCGAACUAGGAAUUUGUAGGAUUUCUAGACUUAAACUUAGAAUGCUAAGCGAUGAUUGUGAGGUGUGAGCACUAGCUUAUUUUAGGAAUUGUGCCUAAAAUGCUUUUAUGUGCUAAAUGCUUUGUGCAUAAUAUGCUGUUAAUUGUUCGGAUCUAUGGUCUGUUGCCGACCGGAUCUGGAAACCUUAUGUGUUUAGGAUUCUAAACGUACGACUACGAUAUUAGAACUAGCAUGUAAACGUUUCGGAGUGAUAAGGACGAUUUAAAACGUCUAUCCUAAAUAAAGAUCUAAAUUCACCUUAUUCGGUGUAUAGAUCAAGAUGGCAAGGACCCGUAGCGGAAACGUGAACGCAAAUGGAGGUAGGAACCAACCCCCAGUGGUUCAGCAAAUACCUGUUGUUGAAGAAGUUGCACCUGAGCCAGUCACCAUGGCUGGAGUUCAAGCCAUGAUUCAGGCUAUGCUAGCUGAACAAAGGGAAGAAAUGAGACGGAUGCUCCACGAAAAUAGGGACGAACCUACCAUACAUGUUGAACCGACGGAGCCAGUUCCCGAGCCAUCUGAGGAAGGGAACUAUAGCCGCCAAGUGAGUCAAGUAGGGACUCAAGGUGAGCAAAAGGAUGGCCCAGAAGGGAGAAACAACAAGGAUGGGCGGAUGUACAAAAAUUUCUUGGGUGCGAAACCACCAAGUCUCUCAGGAAGCCCAAAGCCUGUUGAGAUUAUGGACUGGAUCUCCGAGAUGGAGAUGGUGUUUGAGAGCUGCGACUGCAGCGAGAAGCAGAAGACUGUCUUCGCUGUGAGACAAUUGAAAACUGGAGUCUUGAGCUGGUGGAAGCUAUUGGCAGAUACAAUGCCACGGGGAGAAGCUCUGAAAAUGUCAUGGGAUGAGUUCUUGGAACAACUGAAGGCGCAGUACUGUUCAGAGAUAGACCUGAUUGAUCUGAACAAUGAGUUCCAAAAUUUGAAGAAGGGGAGAAUGAGCAUCGAUGACUAUGCUGCUGCAUUUACGGAAAAGAUGAAGUUGUUUCCAUACCUAGUGCCAACCGAACUUUCCAAAAUUGAGAAAUUCGCAAACGGACUGCCGGCUGACUUUGGCCCAACAGUCAAGAUGGCAACCACUCUGAAAUCAGCUGUUCGAGCAGCUAAGAACGUGGAGACCCAACAAAAGGAAAGAGGUCUGGAGAGGGCUGAGGUUGGUGAGAAACGGAAGUUCAAUGGAUCCUCGAAGUCCAACAAGAAGAGUAGAUUCUCGAAGUCUGGUUCGAGGGGAGGAGGAUCAGAAGCGAAGUGGUGUGACAAGUGCAAGAAGAAGCACUCUGGGAAGUGUGACGGAGGGGUCACUUGUUACAAGUGCGGAAAGCCUGGGCACUACGCCAAUGAAUGCACCCUCAACCAGAAAGCCUGUUAUGGGUGCAAUGAAGAAGGGCACAUUUUGAAGGACUGCCCGAAGAAGAAGGAGACAGGAAGACCCAACAUACCACCGAAGCCGAAGGCGAGAGCCUUCCAGAUGACGCUCGAGGCUGCAAAGGAGGCAGCAGACGUCGCUUCAGGUACCUUUCUUGUAAAUGGUUUGCCUGCAAAUAUACUAUUUGAUUCCGGAGCCAACUACUCCUUUGUGUCGCAUAAAUUUGGUGGGAAAUUAGCAUUGCCUGUAGAAAAACUAGAUAAUGCCCUGAUUGUAGAAGUUGCCAGUGGCAAAUUCGUACCUGUUAGUAAUCGUAUUAGGAACAUCGUCAUUGACCUAAACGGAAACGAAUUCCACGAAGAGCUAUUACCCAUAGAGUUAAACGGUUUCGACAUCGUUUUGGGUAUGGAUUGGCUUAGCGCCAACGAUGCUGAGAUUCAAUGCCGAAAGAAGAUAGUAAAGGUAAACCCACCCGGAAAAGAAUCAUUUAUGGUGUAUGGGGACAAACGCAGAGUGAAUUCUGGAAUCAUCUCCCUGAUGAAAGCCAGGAAAUGUUUGUCCAAAGGAUGUGCAUCAUACUUGGCAUUCGUAAUCGAUGCCAAGAAGGAGAAGAAAGAGGUGCAGAAUAUACCGGUUGUGUGUGAUUAUCCGGAAGUCUUUCCCGAAGAUCUUCCCGGAUUACCACCUGAUAGGCAAGUGGAGUUUCGUAUAGACUUGUUACCAGGAACAACACCGAUAGCAAAGGCACCUUACCGAUUAGCACCGACGGAGAUGAAGGAGCUCAUGACGCAACUUCAGGAGCUGUUGGACAACGGUUUUAUUCGACCUAGUUCAUCACCCUGGGGAGCUCCGGUGUUAUUCGUGAAGAAGAAGGACGGAAGUAUGAGAAUGUGUAUAGACUACCGAGAGCUGAAUAAGGCAACGGUGAAGAACAAGUAUCCAUUGCCGAGGAUUGAUGACCUAUUCGAUCAGCUGCAAGGUUCGAGCUACUUCUCAAAGAUCGAUCUUAGGUCAGGAUAUCAUCAGCUAAAGGUGAGAAAGCAGGAUAUUGAGAAGACUGCAUUCAGAACGAGAUAUGGACACUACGAGUUCUUGGUUAUGUCAUUCGGGCUAACCAAUGCUCCCGCAGCAUUCAUGGAUUUGAUGAAUAGGGUUUGUAAACCAUUCCUCGAUAAAUCCGUGAUAGUGUUCAUCGACGACAUUCUCAUCUACUCGAAAAGCCAAGAGGAGCAUGGCAAGCAUCUACGGGAAGUAUUAGAAGUGUUGAAGAAGGAGAAGCUUUUUGCAAAGUUCUCCAAAUGCGACUUUUGGAUACGGGAAGUCCAAUUCUUGGGUCAUGUUGUUAACCAGGAGGGAAUAAUGGUUGACCCCGCAAAGAUCGAGGCUGUAAUGAAGUGGGAACGUCCAAAGAGUCCCACGGAGAUUCGAAGCUUUCUAGGAUUAGCCGGAUAUUAUCGACGAUUUAUCCAAGGCUUUUCUUCGAUAGCUGCUCCAUUAACAGCUUUGACUCAUAAAGGAGCUACGUAUACGUGGAGUGAGAAACACGAUGAGGCAUUCGAGAAGCUAAAGAAGAAGUUAUGUGAAGCACCGAUACUUUCUCUACCCGAUGGAGUCGAAGAUUUCGCGGUUUAUAGUGACGCUUCUGGAGUCGGGUUGGGUUGUGUUCUGACCCAAAGAGAAAAGGUGAUAGCAUACGCAUCUCGACAAUUGAAAGAGCACGAAAAGAACUACCCCACUCAUGAUCUGGAGUUGGCAGCGGUAGUUUUUGCCUUAAAGAUAUGGAGGCAUUACCUCUACGGCACGAAGUGCAAGCUCUUCACUGAUCAUAAGAGUCUCCAGUAUCUCUUUAAUCAGAAGGAGUUGAACAUGAGGCAACGACGCUGGCUAGAACUUCUCAAGGACUACGACUGUGAGAUACUUUACCACCCAGGUAAAGCAAAUAUUGUUGCUGAUGCUCUCAGUCGGAAAGUCAAUCUGGAAAGGAAAAGGCCAAGAGCGUUAAGAAUUGAAGUCGUCUCGACGAUUGUGGAAAGUAUCAGGAAAGCUCAAGAAGAAGCUUUAGAGAAAAAUGACCGAAAGGAAGAACGUUUGGGAAGAACGUUAGUGUUCGGUACAAACAGUCGAGGACUGAAGGUAUUCCAAGAUCGAAUUUGGGUACCUAAGACGGGAGGAAUAAGAGAUCUUCUGAUGGAAGAAGCACACAAGACCAUGUACUCGAUUCAUCCCGGUAGCACUAAAAUGUAUAGGGACCUAAAACCCUACUACUGGUGGCCGACGAUGAAGCUCGAUGUUGCGAAGUAUGUGGCCGAGUGCGUAACAUGUGCGAGGGUUAAGGCACAACAUCAGAAACCGUAUGGGAGUUUAGAACCUUUACCUGUACCCAUGGGUAAAUGGGAAGACAUCACCAUGGAUUUUGUGACUAAACUGCCCAGGACGAAGAACGGUCACGACAUGAUUUGGGUAGUCGUGGAUCGUUUCACCAAGAGUGCACACUUCAUAGCAGCCAACGAGAAGUGGUCUAUGGAUAAGCUCGCAAAUGCUUACGUGAAGGAAAUUGUAAGACUUCACGGUGUCCCUCUUACGAUUGUAUCAGAUCGUGAUAGUCGUUUCACGUCAAGGUUUUGGAGGAGUCUACAAGAGGAGUUAGGUACAAAGUUGUGUUUGAGUACUGCUUAUCAUCCGCAAACUGAUGGUCAGAGCGAAAGAACGAUUCAGACGCUGGAAGAUAUGCUGAGAGCAUGUACCCUCGAAUUCCAAGGGAAUUGGGACGAGCACUUACCUCUGGUAGAAUUUUCCUACAACAAUAGUUUUCACUCGAGCAUCAAGAUGGCUCCUUAUCAAGCCUUGUAUGGGCAGAAGUGUCGUACGCCGUCUUGUUGGCUUGAAGCCGGAGAGAAGCAGUUUAUGGGCCCCGAGAUAGUCCAUGAGACUGCUGAGAAGUUGAAGGUGAUUAGGGAAAGGAUGUUAGCAGCCCAGGAUCGUCAGAAGAGCUAUGCUGACAAGAAAAGACGACCGAUAACUUUCGAAGUUGGGGAUUCCGUUUUGCUUAAAGUCUCACCGUGGAAGGGACUUAUACGAUUUGGGAAACGAGGAAAGUUGAGUCCAAGGUUUAUUGGACCGUUCAAAGUUCUUCAGAAGAUAGGGAACCAAGCUUACAAGCUGGAAUUGCCCGAAGAACUCAAUGGUAUUCAUAACACCUUCCAUGUGUGUUAUUUGAGGAAAUUCACGGGAGAUGUUCCCGACAUAAUUCCAAUCUCAGAGUUAAGGAUGGAUGAAAAUAAAAGGUUGAUCGAAGAGCCUGAGGCAAUUGUUGACCGUAAGACUAAGAAGUUACGACGCAAGAUGGUCGACUUGGUGCUAGUCCGAUGGAAACAUUCGAAUGGGCCGAAUCUCACUUGGGAAACAGAGGAUGACAUGAUGAGUCGCUAUCCACAUCUGUUUGCUGAUGCAUGAUUCCGGGACGGAAUCAUCCUAAGGGGGAGAGAAUUGUAACGCCCGGGUUUCAGGGCUAAGCAUUUUUGUCAAUGUAAUAGUCUAGGUCAACUCUUGUAACUCUUUUUGAAGUAAUAAAGAUGAAAUAUUUGAGUAUUAUGUGAAUUAUAUGUGUUUAUUAUUUAAUUAUAAAUGUAUAAUUAAUAAAGAAUAAAAAUGAGCGUCAAAAUUAAAGUGUGAGAUAAUCCCGAUAUCUCUACAUAAAGUUGUAGAAUAUGUCUCAAGGUUUCCGUGCAUAUAAGGAACGCCGAAAUCCGAGUUAUAACGAAGAAGUUAUGACCCGUCGAAGUUUCACGACAGAACCGGCACGAUACCGGGAAGCGUGAAUAGUGAAUU
rnacentral:lncRNA from 1 species